AUUGAACGCUGGCGGCAGGCCUAACACAUGCAAGUCGAACGAGUGGCGGACGGGUGAGUAAUGUCUGGGAAACUGCCUGAUGGAGGGGGAUAACUACUGGAAACGGUAGCUAAUACCGCAUACCAUCAGAUGUGCCCAGAUGGGAUUAGCUUGUGGGUGGGGUAACGGCUCACCAAGGCGACGAUCCCUAGCUGGUCUGCGAGGCGGACCAGCCACACUGGGACUGAGACCCGGUCCAUAUGCCUACGGGAGGCAGCAGGGGGUAAUAUUGCACUAUGGUCGCAAGCCUGAUGCAGCCAUGCCGCGUGUAGGAAGAAGGCCUUCGUGUUGUAAAGUACUUUCAGCGGGGAGGCGUUACCCGCAGAAGAAGCACCGGCUAACUCCGUGCCAGCCGCCGCGGUAAUAC
rnacentral:rRNA from 1 species